rnacentral:rRNA from 1 species
UACGUAGGGGGCUAGCGUUGUCCGGAUUUAUUGGGCGUAAAGAGCGUGUAGGCGGCCAGGUAGGUCCGUUGUGAAAACUCGAGGCUCAACCUCGAGACGUCGGCGGAAACCCUCUGGCUAGAGUCCGGAAGAGGAGAGUGGAAUUCCUGGUGUAGCGGUGAAAUGCGCAGAUAUCAGGAAGAACACCGAUGGCGAAGGCAGCUCUCUGGGACGGUACUGACGCUGAGACGCGAAAGCGUGGGGAGCGAACAGG